AUAAGGGGGAUAAUGAAACUUAGGCGACAUCCGGAAAGAUUGUAACCUCAUAGUACUCGACCAAUGAGGAACUGGGGGAGGGACUUGGAUGCUAGGAGAUAAAUUAUACCAGACACCCAAUCUUGCAAGACCCCUAUUAAAAGUCUCACUUCCGCUGUUCUUCGUGCCUCUAAGCCCAUUCUUUGGGUUUGGAAAGCCUCCUGCAGCCAGAGCAGCCAUUUGAAAAUGCAAAUCUAUUCACACCUGUGUUACAUGACGGAGACUGCUUCAGCCAUUGAGCCAUGUCUGCCUGUAUCCUUCAGCUAGAAAACCCCAGAAAAAAGGCACCAAGUGGAAAUAAGGAGCAAGGAAGGGGACAGCUGUGAACACUGGCCUCCUUAGUCAACCACGGGUGUCAGAGAACUUAAUGGAUGGAGCAGAUUUCAAGGAAAGAAAUCAGGCAGAAU